rnacentral:rRNA from 1 species
CGAUCGAUCCGCAAUGGGCGCAGCCUGUCGACGCGCCGCGUGUGGUGAAGUCCCUAGGGACGUAAACCUCCCCUAUGGGGAGAAGUAACAACCCCUCGCUGCUACUGAUAGUACCUCACGAAUAAGGGGCUGCUAAACUCGUGCCAGCAGCAGCGGUAUUCGAGUCCCCCAAGCGCUAUCCGGAAUCACUGGGCGUAAAGGGUGUGUAGGUUGGUCCUGGUUUAGUCUUCUGUAAAAAUCUUGGGCUUCAACCCAAGACCCUGCAGGGGAAACGGCCAGACUCGAGGGUGCGAGAGGUGAAUGGAACUUCAUGGAGUAGGGGUGAAAUCCGUCUGAUCUCAUGGGGAACACCAAAAGCGAAGGCAAUUUCACUGGCGCAUUUUCUGACACUUGAAACACGAAAGCGUGGGUAGCGAAUGGGAUUAGAUACCCCAGUUAGUCCACGCCCUAAACGAUUCAACUAGCUUUUCGGUAGUGUCAACCCCUCUGAGAGGCGAACUUAACGCGUUAAGCUUGACCGCUUGU